CCACACGUGCCAUCGAGAUGCUCUGGCACGGGAUGUGCCUCCAACCCAAAGCUCCUUCCCACCUCCCAAGGAAAAGCAAAGCAACCCAAGCAUCUCCAGCAAAGCUGCCCAGCAGACAGCAGGGAAUGCAAACAGCUUCUGGCUGCUCCCCUGCACUCCUGUCCUAAGUAGGAAAACUAAUUUCUGAGCCAGGAGAAGAAGAAGUGCAACAUGCAACAAUCUUCCUUGCACUGUGCAGUUUGCAUGAGUAGCCAAGUGCUCCUCAGGUAACGUGUGCUGCAGAGCUGACCUUGGUGGCAGGGGCCGUGUCUUCGUUUUCUACCUGUCACGUGGGAACAUAAGAAGACUCUUCAGAGCAGGAGCUGCAGAGGAAGAUGAACGGCAUGAGAAGGUCAGCUGGUGCUGGAAGCGGCCGGUAUCUUAGUAGGAAUGAAGGUGAGUGCAGGAGCAGCUGCUGAGGGGAGGAAGGAAGUCCAUGCUAAUGAGCUCUGAAGCAUCUGCAGGUCCAGUACGAAAGGAGGCAGCAGUGAUGCUGGAGGGCACAUGGUGAGUGCG